ACCCUUUGGCCCUUUUUUGGUACGGAAUCCUAAAAAUGCAAAUUAAAAAAAAUACAUUAUAAUGAAAUCACCAGGGUAUUAAAUCUAAAAUUUGAUAAAUUCUUAAUCUUGAAAGUAUCAUAUAAAUCUAGCUAUAUUGCUUGCUCGCGGUCGAUUAUUAUUAUAAUUGUACAACGGAGGACGUAUGUUACUUAAAUCAAUUAGUAACGGAAUACGGAGUAGAUAAAAAUUACAAAAAUUGCCUACAUUUUGCCAUUAAAAAGGUACCUACUGUGGAGGUAUAUAAGUCCUACGAUUCAACUGUGUUCCGCAUUGUGACAGAGUACACAAGAUGAAGCCCUUCAUUAUAUUGUUUUUAUUCGGAUUGAUUAGUGGAGUUCUAUCUCUCGACUGGUAUAUCACCGCAAGUAGGUCCCCCAUCCCGAAAAUCAAGGCGCCGCCAUCUUUAAGGCAGAGGCUGAGACGCUUACGUGGCUAUUAUGACGACGUCAACUGAUCGGUCUCUACAAGAGACACGUUUGCUUUUUUGUGUUCUGCUAAUAAAUAUGUAUACAUUGUA